UACCCAUGAUGUUGACAGGCGAGAAUUAAGUCCUUGAACCAUUCCCAACAUUUAAAGAUGGUCUCAUUAUUUUUCUGGGAGAAGUUCAUUAUUUCCUAUCUAAGAGU